AGCAUUUCUGUCUUUGGUGUGCAAUGGAGAUGCUGCUGUCGGUGUUCAGCCCAUAGGAGUGUCAUACAGCUGCAAAGAAGAGGAUGGACUCAAAGCAUCACUGCGCGGUGCGACUGAGACUGUGGGGUGAAUGCACAGAGGAUUGGAGAUGCUGGGAGAAAGCAUAAGCAGUCCUUGAAGAUGAGGUAGGAGGGAUGGCAGUAACAGAAGAGCACAGCUGAAUCUCAAGAUCUCAAGACAGCAGGAGUCUGAGCAUUUAAAUAGGCCUUUGCCAUGCUGGAGCAUUCCAAGCAGUGUGUUCUUCAAGUUUGAGUUCCUCUAGGAUGGAUGGUGAAAAGGUCACAACAGAAUUACAGGAGAAGCUUGUCCAGAGAUCACAGGCAAAAGCUGUUUUCGGAGCAGUUUUUCCAGACAAAACAUAAUCAAAGGCAACAACAACAUUUUGCCUUUAACGAGAAAGGCCAUGUAAGAUUUCAGUGCAUCGGCUCAGCCUGGAGAACAGGAGGACACAGAACCUCAGCGCAGGGAGUGCCCCUACCUGUCAGCUCCUUGUGACUGCUCCAUGGAUGGUGGCACUGGGGGCACUGGAAAUAACAGCCUGGGAUCCUGCCAAGAUCUGAUGCUACAGAUUAUAGAUAACAUCUGCAACUAGAAGAACUAACAGUGCUGCUGUGUUAAAGAACAAAGGAGGCCAUGAUUGUUCCCAGGCAGCAGCUGGAGCAUGCAGGUAAGUGUAGCACAGCCAGCGGGGAUGCAGGCAUUCCUAGUCAAAGAGGACAAGCCUGAAAGUGAAGUCUGAAGUAUAUUUAAGCAAAUCUUUGGGUUUUUUCCCCCUGUUUUCAAAAAUACGAUCAAUAUUGGCCACCCUUCUGAGGCUCUUGUUAGAUGUUUUUAUUGCACAUCACUCACCUGUACAAGGACAAAUGGGUCUCUCCAUGGAGAACUGAUUCCCAGCUGCUGUGCUGGAUGCUGAGCCCAAUGGGGCUCUGCUGCUUUCCACUGUUUACAAGCACUAUUUAAACAGUGAGUCUGCAGUAGAGCACCUCCCAGGGUAUUUUCACAUGAGAACACCCCUUUCCCAGCGAACUAUCAGGGGGUAGCAUGAAUUAUUUUAACGGCUCCAUCACUUCAGCCAAAGCCUCCACCAUCUGCUAUACAUCCUAAUU